rnacentral:rRNA from 1 species
GACAGAGGGUGCAAACGUUGUUCGGAAUUACUGGGCGUAAAGCGCGUGUAGGCGGCUAUGUAAGUCGGGCGUGAAAUCCCUCGGCUUAACCGGGGAACUGCGUCUGAUACUGGAUGGCUUGAGUUUGGGAGAGGGAUGCGGAAUUCCAGGUGUAGCGGUGAAAUGCGUAGAUAUCUGGAGGAACACCGGUGGCGAAGGCGGCAUCCUGGACCAACACUGACGCUGAGUGAGCGAAAGCCAGGGGAGCAAACGGG